rnacentral:snRNA from 1 species
GUACUUACCUGGGGCGAGGUCUCGUUGAUCACCGAGGACGAGCCCCCAGGGCGGGACGCGGGCAUUGCAGUGCGCUUGCGUUGACCCCUGCCACUACCCAAAGUGGGCCAGAUGGAGCAUGCAAGUUGCUUAAAUCCGGUUCAACGCAAGAGAGGGCGCCACCGCC